UAACUCCGGUUGAUCCUGCCGGACCCCACUGCUAUCGGGAUAGGACUAAGACAUGCUAGUCAAGCGCUCGCCAGCCAAAGGUGAGUGCGGCGCACAGCUCAGUAACACGUGGCUAACCUGCCCUUGGGACGGGGACACCCCCGGGAAACUGGGGUUAAUCCCCGAUAGGCGAAGAACUCUGGAAUGAAUCUCCACCUAAAAGGCGCUUGCGCUAUGCUCGCAGGUGUCGCCCAAGGAUGGGGCCGCGACCGAUCAGGUUGUUGGUGAGGCAAUGGCUCACCAAGCCUUUUACCGGUGCGGGCCGUGGGAGCGGGAGCCCGGAGAUGGGCACUGAGACAAGGGCCCAG
rnacentral:rRNA from 1 species